AGUGAUGUGACCUUCUCAUCUGAAUCAAAGAUGGAGGACAGAGCGGGAACUUUCUAAAACUACUAAGAACUUUGAAGCCAACAGACACCUUUGGAAAGGACUGUUGCUUUCUCAAGAAGCAUUUAUAAGGCAUUUGGAAUAAUGUCACCUUAUAUCAGAACCUUCAAAACAAAUAUCUGUGAUUCAUUGGACUUGUCCACAAUGCUUGCUCACGAGUGAGGUCAGAGUCUGGUCAAUCAAGGGUAUCAAACACUAUGUCCUCACUGCUAUUUGUGCCUAAGAAUGUUCUGCAGAUAUUUUAUAAUCAGAGGUGAACAGAAGGGCUGAGAGCACAAAAACACUAAGUCCAUGGGGACAGGAUGUGAUGGCUGGUGGAGCAAGAAGUGGAGAAGGAAGCUGACUUCAUUUCUACAAAUACAUAGUGGGUCCCGUGACACGGCAGCUGCUGUUUUGGGAAGAAAAAAUGUUGCUUG